UAUUGCUCUCUAUAUAGAGGCUAUCAAGACACCUAGAUGUGUUGUUUUGCUCUUGUAUUGAAGCUAUCAAGACACUUGAAUGCGUGGCAUUGUUCUUUAUACAGAAGCUAUCAAAACAGCUGAAUGCGUGGCAUUGCUCUUUAUAUUGAGGCUAUGAACACACCUAGAUGUGUCGCGUUGCUCUUUAUAUUGAAGCUAUCAAGACACCUGAAUGCUUGGCAUUGCUCUUUAUAUUGAAGCUAUCAAGACACCAAGAUGUGUUGCUUUGCUGUUUACACAGAAGGUAUCAAGAACCUGAAUGUGUGAUAUUCUGUAUACAGAAGGUAUCAAGACACCUGAAUGUGUGGUAUUCUGUAUACAGAAGGUAUCAAGACACCUGAAUGUGUGGUAUUCUGUAUACAGAAGGUAUCAAGACACCUGAAUGUGUGGUAUUCUGUAUACAGAAGGUAUCAAGACACCUGAAUGUGUGGUAUUCUGUAUACAGAAGGUAUCAAGACACCUGAAUGUGUGGUAUUCUGUAUACAGAAGGUAUCAAGACACCUGAAUGUGUGGUAUUCUGUAUACAGAAGGUAUCAAGACACCUGAAUGUGUGGUAUUCUGUAUACAGAAGGUAUCAAGACACCUGAAUGUGUGGUAUUGUUCUGUAUACAGAAGGUAUCAAGGCACCUGAAUGUGUGGUAUUCUGUAUACAAAAGGUAUCAAGACACCUGAAUAUGUGGUAUUGUUCUGUAUACAGUGGGU